rnacentral:tRNA from 1 species
GGGGCCGUAGUCUAGCCUGGUACCGACACUUGCAAAGUAGAGAGUGUUUGUGGGAACUAGGAUUCACCCUUGGGGUGGGUGAGGCCGGCGUUCAAAUCGUCGCGGUCCCA